AGUGAACGCUGGCGGUAGGCCUAACACAUGCAAGUCGAACGGCAGCACAGUAAGAGCUUGCUCUUACGGGUGGCGAGUGGCGGACGGGUGAGGAAUACAUCGGAAUCUACUUUUUCGUGGGGGAUAACGUAGGGAAACUUACGCUAAUACCGCAUACGACCUACGGGCGAAAGCAGGGGAUCUUCGGACCUUGCGCGAUUGAAUGAGCCGAUGUCGGAUUAGCUAGUUGGCGGGGUAAAGGCCCACCAAGGCGACGAUCCGUAGCUGGUCUGAGAGGAUGAGCAGCCACACUGGAACUGAGACACGGUCCAGACUCCUACGGGAGGCAGCAGUGGGGAAUAUUGGACAAUGGGCGCAAGCCUGAUCCAGCCAUACCGCGUGGGUGAAGAAGGCCUUCGGGUUGUAAAGCCCUUUUGUUGGGAAAGAAAAGCAGCAGGUUAAUACCCCGCUGUUCUGACGGUACCCAAAGAAUAAGCACCGGCUAACUUCGUG
rnacentral:rRNA from 1 species